AUCUGUCAGAGCUAUGAUAACACUGGCGGUCCGAUAACCUGCGGGUGUAAACCAUUUGAUCAGAUCCUUUUAGUAUAAAUAUGUGAUCUAUGCUUAGCUAGACACUUUUGUAAAUGUAACCUAAUUUAUAAGCAUGCAGUUGCAAGUACGUAGUCUUUUAAAGCUUCAGAGACCCUCUGACUCUUAAGUAUUUAGCUCGAGGAUGUUUUUUUGGAAGACUUUGGCAUGACAACAAACCCACAUAGGAGAGUAAAAUCUUGAUCAUACGAACCUUCUGUAUUUCCAUGAUAUAUCUGCUCACUGGCCUGUGGAACAAACACACCGACGAUAAGCUGGCAAUCAACCACAUUCUACAGGAAGGUAAUAUCUGUUCAAUUUAUUGAGUCAUGUGUUUAGUGUUCACGUUAUGUGAAGAGUGAAGACAGAGUGGUGCUGGAGCUCACCCUCAGGAUGCCCUCGUGCAUGAAGGUGUCUCCACCUGGAUGAACUCCCUGGAGCUCCUCCAGACCUUUGCGGAUGCGUUCUCUAAGAGUUGAACUCACUUGUCCAAGACAAAAUAGAGGUCAAAGCCUCCGUAGCACGAGGACGACCCUGCCAGCCUUCUCUCGUGGUCGGAUCCAGCAUGAACAAGAGGAACAACCAGAGUGGCAGCAAACAAAGCUGGAAGCCAGGAUCUUCUACUCCAACAUGAAGGCAUUAUUCCAUCUGAAAACCCCACAAAGGUAAAGGG